UUGGGUUGGUAAAAAAGUUUGUUUGGGUUUUUUGGUAAGAUGGUAUGAAAGACCAGAACAAAUUUUUUGGUCAACCCAGU
rnacentral:miRNA from 1 species